CCUACGGGUGGCAGCAGUGAGGAAUAUUGGUCAAUGGGAGAGAUCCUGAACCAGCCAAGCCGCGUGAGGGAAGACGGCCCUAUGGGUUGUACACCUCUUUUGUCGGAGAACAAAACCCGGGACGUGUCCCGGACUGCGUGUAUCCGAAGAAAAAGCAUCGGCCAACUCCGGGCCAGCAGCCGCGGUAAUACGGAGGAUGCGAGCGUGAUCCGGAUUUAUUGGGUUUUAAGGGUUCGUAGGCGGUCCGUUAGGUCAGCGGUAAAAUUGCGGGGCUCAACCCCGUCGAGCCGUUGAAACUGGCAGACUUGAGUUGGCGAGAAGUACGCGGAAUGCGCGGGGUAGCGGUGAAAUGCAUAGAUAUCACGCAGAACUCCGAUUGCGAAGGCAGCAUACCGGCGCCCGACUGACGCUGAAGCACGAAAGCGUGGGUAUCGAACAGGAUUAGAUACCCCGGUAGUC
rnacentral:rRNA from 1 species